GGAAGGGAAGGAACCAGACAUCUUCAUUCUAGAAGUCUGGAGUGGGGAGGGAAGAGGAUGAGGAGUGGGAGGGAGGAGGGAGUGUUGAAAUAAGGGAGGAAGAAGGAAGGGUAGAGGGGGAGGAGAGGGUGGAAAAGGGAGGAGAAGGAACAGGCAGAGGGCAGCCUGGAGGUCUCAGGAGCCAGCACCAAGACCUGAUACUGCAUAAGAAGCUAAAAAUACUGGGCUUCCUCCCCACUGCUGUCUCAAUGUCGUUUUUGUUGUUGUUGUUGUUGUUGUUGUUGUUUUUGGGUUUUUUUUUUUUUUAAAUAAGGCAGCCUCUUUCUAGUUCUCCCCUUCCACUGUCAUUUAUUUCAGUUUUUAUCUCCACAACAAAAAUUCCUUCCAACUUUCCCCCCUUGUCUCCCUCUAAUGCUCUUCACUCUCAAAUGCUAAUAACCUCCAGCUGCAAACGGCUUAGAAGUGGCUCUAGAUUGUUUGAUCUUUGGCCUGUGAUCUGCUUUCAUCUCUCUGCUUUCAAAUGUUACUUUAGAUUUACUUUAACCUAUUAACAUGCUUGGUAUUCAUAGACACGCACACUCCAAAGCAGCUUCCAAGCGCCUCAACCCCCUCCCCAUUUUAGCCAGGCAGGAAACUGGAACUCCCAACGCAGAGUAGACCGGAACUUUCCAGUGCUGGAUGGAGGAGGAGGCCCGAAAGGCAGAAGACUGUGUCUGAGGAGGCUCUGCAGGAGAAUGGUGGGAAGGGAAGGACAGGAGGAAGAGAUGAAGGAUUGCAGAGAAGAAAACAGAGAAGAGAAGGCAGAAGAUGGGGACCCAGAGCCCGCUGAGUUAGCGCCUCAGAUUUCCAGCUUGUGGUUGAGCUGGGAUGCUUGGCGUAUUGUUUCCACAGGAAACGAGAGAGGCAUGAAUAUGGAUGAAACUCCUCACCGAGACCACAAGGGACAGUUCCGAGCACCAUGGUCAGAAUCCAGAUGUGCCUGUUCCGGGCCCCAGUGAAUGCCCAGCUUCUGUUCUCUACAGUAUGAGGUCUCCUACCUCUCACUUAAAAGAUGGUACUGCAGGCCAGGAAGAGCAAGUCUCCAUCACUGUAGUGGCUCUAGGCCAAAUCUCCAAAUGAAAUCAGGCUGGGGAGAAAUGAACAAGUGAGAUGCAGAAAACAAUGUGAAGAAGAAACUCUGAAGAUUCGAAUAAUAAUAGAAAAAAAAGAAGGAAGAGAGGUACAUUUCCUUGUUUCUGGGUCCUGUUACUUGUGUAUUGCAAAGAAUUUUAGAGAUGAUAGAACCAGAUCUCUUCAAGGUGGUGCAGGAGCAUUUGAAAUGCAUACCCUGAAUGGAUGAGCUAAGCCCUACAAAAUGCACGGAAGGCAAUUCAGGCAAAGUAUUAUCAACAAGAUUUAAGAAGAAGCCCAUGGAACACAGCAAUAAAACCUGGAAAUAACUAUCCAUUUCCUACCUACAAAAUGUCUCAUUUCCGAGUCCAUAAACGCUCCCCCCUCCGGAUCCCAGACCCAUCUGUUUUGUAAGUGUGUAUAAUUAUUAGCAUCAUAAAAUCAGUUGCUAUACCUAAUGUAAUUAUCAGCAGCCAAAAUAAUAUCAGGUAAAGGCAGGGGAGGAAGGAGGAGGAAGCUGCUCACUGCUAACUCAGACUCAUUUUUUUUUUAAAGAGAGGGAAGUGGUCACAUGAGAAGAUAAGAAUUCUUUAUGGUGAGAUUCCACUUCCAGUGGAGGCUUUGGGGACUGCUUUGCAAAUAAGGCUGAGCUGGCUCAUCUCAGAGUAAAGAGCGCCUCCUCGGCAUGUGCCAUGGGUUCAGUCGCUAUUGGGAAUCAGAAGUUGAGAUCUGUGCUUCCUCUGCGACCAACCUACAGCCUCUCUGGAGGCCCAGGGAACAUGUCCUUCCCUCCAGAGGUGCUGCCAAAGCUUUUUCAUUCUUUCCCAUGCUUUGGCUCAACCUCAGGAGAGUUCAAAAGUAAGUUUCCAAAGCUUGGCCGGGAUAACUAAGUCUGUGGUGAGUUCCUGAUUCAGAAAGAACUCCUGCCUUGUGUCUGGUCACAGUGUCAAGGCUGGUUAGUCACCCAUGGAAUGAGUGAGGCGGCGAGUCAAUGGAUGGAGUGAUGGAUGAAUGGAGAGGGUCCAGAUGGUGACAGCAAUGGCUAUUACAGGAGACGGCGAGCAUAUGCCAGUGCCUCCGCCCAUGUCUUAUGGUGUUGGUGGGAGGAAGCACACUGCUCACUGAGGCAUCAUGGAGAGGCUGGCUUUGACUUACUUCAGUAUUCUGACCACUAGAUCAUUCCAAAUGGAAUGGCCAUCUUUGCACAGAGGUGGGCUCUAUAAUCCCGAUGUUCUUCAAGGCGGAGCCUGGGCAACCCCUCCCCAGGCAUCUUAUCCAGGAGGUUGGAGGGGCAAUAAAAAGAACAUUUACAUUA